UUUAAUUAAAUUAAGAUGAUACAGGAUGAUGAUUAAAAGAAAAGACAACACCAAUACAAAGCAUUCUGGAUGUUUUUGUUUAUUCAUCGGGCUUUACAAAUUAUUGCUCUUUACUGACAGAGAAGAUAAAUCAACAACCUCUCUACUAAGCAUGAUUUAUUUCAAUAUGAGAAACACAUUUUUAACUUUAUUUCCUUUGCCAUUUGCUGUGCACUGUUCAAAAGCAAGACUGCACAAACACAUGUAUAUGAUUGGACAAGUAUAUGGAUGGCAGGACGAUAUGAACUGGAGUUAUAGAUGCUUAGGAAGAAAACAUAUAAUGCAGAAAUGUAUGCAGAUCGAAUCUUAAUGAUGAGGAGAAACAUGCAUACAAAACUGUGUCAUCUGCAUAAAAAUGUAUGUAAUAAGUUAAUUCAUAUCACUGAGUAAUGUGUGCUCUUUUGUUAUUGAUAUGGAUUGUUUGGGAUGAGAGCCCAGUCUGACCUGCUGGAAGUCUCUCUGGUUUUCAUUGUAUUCUGUAACCUGAAUUCCUGGAAUUUAAUUCGUAUUACCACUUUAUACUUUAUAACGUACUUUAUUUUGAUAUGUAGGCAUUCUGUGUUGUUGUUGUAUUUAGACAGGAUUGCACAAUUUGACAGUUAAAACCAAACAACUAAGAAAAUCGGCCAAUGCUUUUAAACACAAACUGCUGGUCAUGUUUCAUAGACAUAUCAAAGGAUCUGGAAAAUAAAACACUCUUAGUCGAUGUGUUUGCUUUUAAAUUUAUUGUUUUUACAUUUCAGAGACUUUACACAUAUCUGAUUACUCAUCUUAAAGGUAUAUUGAGAUUUUGUUGCAUGUCAGAUUUUUUUGUAAUAAUGUUUUUUAUGCUUCCUUCACUGUCUUUAGAAAGUGAUCAACCUGAGUAAAUAAAGGGAAAUUAAAAGUAAUCAACAUCUCCCUUUUUCAGGAAGGUUGAACGGUCAGUGUGAAGGAAGGGAGGAUUAUUAUUUCAGCCUUGGAGUGUUGCAAAA